rnacentral:lncRNA from 1 species
ACCGGAUCCAUAGAAAAUGCUUACCACAUGCUAAGUAUCAGCAUUACUAUCUUUUUAGGUCUUGCAUUUUAAAAAUGGCAAGCCUGUCCCCUUUGUGCUUGAUAAGAACCCCUGAUGCUCAUGUGUUUGAAUUCAUUCCUGGUCUCCUCUCUCUUCGCCCUGCCUCAGAUCUGACAGUGGAUGCUCCUUGUCCAGGACCAACCUUGUCUCUCUCUACACCUCUGAUAUGCCAGGAGACAAACUGCAUCAUCUGCCUCCAGCUCUUGGACUCCACGCUGGUCCUGGAAGGCAUCUCUUCUAGAUUGGACACUCUGGGAGAGAAGGGUCACACCAACCUGUUCAGCUUUGUAUUCCCAUUGACCAGAACAAUGCUAAGCACACACUGAAGCUAGAGUAAGUAUCUGCUAAGUGAACAGCUUUUUCU